rnacentral:rRNA from 1 species
GAAGGUGUGCUGUGAGGCAUGCUGGAGGUAUCAGAAGUGCGAAUGCUGACAUAAGUAACGAUAAAGCGGGUGAAAAGCCCGCUCGCCGGAAGACCAAGGGUUCCUGUCCAACGUUAAUCGGGGCAGGGUGAGUCGACCCCUAAGGCGAGGCCGAAAGGCGUAGUCGAUGGGAAACAGGUUAAUAUUCCUGUACUUGGUGUUACUGCGAAGGGGGGACGGAGAAGGCUAUGUUGGCCGGGCGACGGUUGUCCCGGUUUAAGCGUGUAGGCUGGUUUUCCAGGCAAAUCCGGAAAAUCAAGGCUGAGGCGUGAUGACGAGGCACUACGGUGCUGAAGCAACAAAUGCCCUGCUUCCAGGAAAAGCCUCUAAGCAUCAGGUAACAUCAAAUCGUACCCCAAACCGACACAGGUGGUCAGGUAGAGAAUACCAAGGCGCUUGAGAGAACUCGGGUGAAGGAACUAGGCAAAAUGGUGCCGUAACUUCGGGAGAAGGCACGCUGAUAUGUAGGUGAAGUCCCUCGCGGAUGGAGCUGAAAUCAGUCGAAGAUACCAGCUGGCUGCAACUGUUUAUUAAAAACACAGCACUGUGCAAACACGAAAGUGGACGUAUACGGUGUGACGCCUGCCCGGUGCCGGAAGGUUAAUUGAUGGGGUUAGCCGCAAGGCGAAGCUCUUGAUCGAAGCCCCGGUAAACGGCGGCCGUAACUAUAACGGUCCUAAGGUAGCGAAAUUCCUUGUCGGGUAAGUUCCGACCUGCACGAAUGGCGUAAUGAUGGCCAGGCUGUCUCCACCCGAGACUCAGUGAAAUUGAACUCGCUGUGAAGAUGCAGUGUACCCGCGGCAAGACGGAAAGACCCCGUGAACCUUUACUAUAGCUUGACACUGAACAUUGAGCCUUGAUGUGUAGGAUAGGUGGGAGGCUUUGAAGUGUGGACGCCAGUCUGCAUGGAGCCGACCUUGAAAUACCACCCUUUAAUGUUUGAUGUUCUAACGUUGACCCGUAAUCCGGGUUGCGGACAGUGUCUGGUGGGUAGUUUGACUGGGGCGGUCUCCUCCUAAAGAGUAACGGAGGAGCACGAAGGUUGGCUAAUCCUGGUCGGACAUCAGGAGGUUAGUGCAAUGGCAUAAGCCAGCUUGACUGCGAGCGUGACGGCGCGAGCAGGUGCGAAAGCAGGUCAUAGUGAUCCGGUGGUUCUGAAUGGAAGGGCCAUCGCUCAACGGAUAAAAGGUACUCCGGGGAUAACAGGCUGAUACCGCCCAAGAGUUCAUAUCGACGGCGGUGUUUGGCACCUCGAUGUCGGCUCAUCACAUCCUGGGGCUGAAGUAGGUCCCAAGGGUAUGGCUGUUCGCCAUUUAAAGUGGUACGCGAGCUGGGUUUAGAACGUCGUGAGACAGUUCGGUCCCUAUCUGCCGUGGGCGCUGGAGAACUGAGGGGGGCUGCUCCUAGUACGAGAGGACCGGAGUGGACGCAUCACUGGUGUUCGGGUUGUCAUGCCAAUGGCACUGCCCGGUAGCUAAAUGCGGAAGAGAUAAGUGCUGAAAGCAUCUAAGCACGAAACUUGCCCCGAGAUGAGUUCUCCCUGACUCCUUGA